UGAGGAAUAUUGGUCAAUGGGCGGGAGCCUGAACCAGCCAAGCCGCGUGAGGGAAUAAGGCGCCAAGCGUCGUAAACCUCUUUUGUCAGGGAACAAAAGCGGGCACGCGUGCCCGUCCGAGUGUACCUGAAGAAAAAGCAUCGGCUAACUCCGUGCCAGCAGCCGCGGUAAUACGGAGGAUGCGAGCGUUAUCCGGAUUUAUUGGGUUUAAAGGGUGCGUAGGCGGCGUGUUAAGUCAGCGGUAAAAGCCCGGGGCUCAACCCGCGAGCGUGAACAUGCAUGCCGGAGACGGCGAGAGGUACGCGGAAUGCGCGGUGUAGCGGUGAAAUGCAUAGAUAUCGCGCAGAACCCCGAUUGCGAAGGCAGCGUACCGGCGCCGGACUGACGCUGAGGCACGAAAGCGUGGGUAUCGAACAGGAUUAGAUACC
rnacentral:rRNA from 1 species